rnacentral:lncRNA from 7 species
AGGAGGGGUUUCCUUUUCCUGUCUUGUUGAAGCCGUGUCCCCAGCAAGGAGGUGGAUUCCCCCUCUACAGGACUAACACACCCAAAUCUGGCUGCAAGGCAGAGGACGUGCAAGCGCUCUGCAUGAGAGCAUCACCAGUUCCUUACUGUGAGUUCACCCAUCACCAGCAAGAGGCUGUCCUGGUGGGUGGAAAUGAUCCCUUGGUACACACAGUGGAAAAGAAGCAGUUCUUCCUGCUGAAUCUCUACAGCAUGUCCAACCUGGCGUUGGGAAAUCCCUUUGGAGCCCAGUGUUGCCAGCUCUGCUGAGUGGGUAUCUCCCAGCAUCACCAUCGAUGUGCUGGGCUCCUUAACAAAGGGCCAACUCUAACCCAGCAGUUACAUCUGACCAGGCUUUGCUGUUGAGGUGGGGGAAGCUCAAAAAAACGUUCUGCCAUUACUCUUCUCUCUUCCUUCUCCUGAGCCCCUCUCCAGGUCCCAUCCACCCACUUGCCAGCAGCAUCUCCACAGGCCGUGCUGAGCAUCACUCCAUGGACCCGACCCCACUGCCAGCCACUGCUGCCAUUCAGACUGCUGAAGUCAAAUUAGGGUCAGAUUUUGGGUGGCUCUGCUUGGAGCCAGGAGUUGGGCUCAGUGCUUCUUAUGGAUCCCUUCCAACUCAGAAUAUUCCACGACUCGAUGAUGUUAUGAUUCAAGGGGAUCUCAGGAAGUUGCCCACACCAUGGCGUUACACAAAGGACUCAGGAAAGGGGCAGGAUCCACGAGGCCAUGCAGAAGACGGGAUCUUCCGUAGCUUUUCUUCCCGGGGAAGGGCUCUGAGGAGAGUUCUGCACCCUCUGCAGUGGGGAACAGCACAGUCACUUUCUUGGAGAGCUGCACAAGGUCAAUCUUUUUCCUUUUUUUUUUCCCCAUUGGUCAUCAUGGCAUUUCUGAGCUUCCCCUGUCAAACACUGUGGUGUUUGGGGAGGAAUGUAAGCGAAAAAAAGGGCAACUUUGGGUGUUUAAAGAACAGGUUUUCCAAUAGCUUGCAAUGUGCAGUUUGCUGCUUGCCAGGCCUUCUCAACUUCUUUAGGAUCUGCCCAUCUGCUGUGCAACAGUGGGUGCAAAAUCUUAUGUUUAUCCAGGACUGAGCAUAGCCCUUGUUGUUACAAUUAAGCUACGCGCUACUUUCCAUAACUCAUUAGCCCUUUAGCUUCUGGAUUAAUUCAAUGUGCAAAUAACGUCACAAAUUGAAUAUUACUGGACUUCUAUUGAGUAUUAAGCGGCAGUAAAAGCACAUUGCUGUGUCUUCAUUCUGCUUUGCACGACGGUGGUUUGUCCAGCGUGUCAAGCAGCUCGUUAGCCUCCCGACAGCUCAGUGCCUUCUUUCCAUGCUGGUUUUUUUGUGUGGUAACCCAGAUAUUAGAACAGAAAUGCAACGACUGCAUGGAAAAGUGGGGAUAGGCAAAAAGGAUACAGCUUUUGGGUGGGGUUGCUUAACCCAGCCUAGGCACCCCUAUUACUGCCGUGCAGAAAAGCAAGCUUUGCUAUGGGCGCAGCGUCCCACAUCAGCCAGAGAUCCCCAUAGGAUGCCAGCACUGCUCCAGGGCCUUGGCUGGAUUUGGGGCUGAAGGAGUUGCAAUGCCAACACACUCCCAAAGCUCCAAACUUCAAACGUGUUGGUGUUACCAACAUGGGCAGAAUGGCUCCAUGCCAUGGGAACCUCCACGGCACCACUGAGCAAAAUGGGUGCAGCUUUCUUUCAACGCGCUGAAGUGGAGGCAAAUUUCAAUCUAAUAAUGUAAAGCAGCAAUAACCAUUAUAAUUAAUUUAUAUAAAAGGCAUUAUAAAAUUACACUUGAUGCAUUUAAAUCCCAUCCAGGAGCAGUGCUCGUUUUCCAGUUAAGCUAUGGGCUGUGCUAAGGCAGACGGAGAAAGAGGUAUUUCAAUAUUUUUUAUAAUUUUAUAUUCUUUCUAAUAUCUCUCAUGCUAAUUUCAUUAUGCAACACAGUCAGCACAGUGAUGUAAUUAUUGAAAAGUAAUUUUGCAAUAAAUGGAUUUAAAUG